rnacentral:rRNA from 1 species
UACGUAGGGUGCGACCGUUAAUCGGAAUUACUGGGCUUAAAGCGUGCGUAGGCGGUUCGUUAUGUCUGCUGUGAAAGCCCCGGGCUUAACCUGGGAAUGGCAGUGGAAACUGGCGGGCUUGAGUGUGGCAGAGGGGGGUGGAAUUCCGCGUGUAGCAGUGAAAUGCGUAGAUAUGCGGAGGAACACCGAUGGCGAAGGCAAUCCCCUGGGCCUGCACUGACGCUCAUGCACGAAAGCGUGGGGAGCAAACAGG